rnacentral:rRNA from 1 species
UGGGGAAUAUUGGACAAUGGGCGCAAGCCUGAUCCAGCCAUGCCGCGUGAGUGAUGACGGCCUUAGGGUUGUAAAGCUCUUUCGCACGCGACGAUAGUGACGGUAGCGUGAGAAGAAGCCCCGGCUAACUUCGUG